rnacentral:rRNA from 1 species
UAAACGACUCUCGGCAACGGAUAUCUCGGCUCUCGCAUCGAUGAAGAACGUAGCGAAAUGCGAUACUUGGUGUGAAUUGCAGAAUCCCGCGAACCAUCGAGUCUUUGAACGCAAGUUGCGCCCAAAGCCAUUAGGUUGAGGGCACGUCUGCCUGGGCGUCUCAC